AGUGAACGCUGGCGGUAGGCCUAACACAUGCAAGUCGAACGGCAGCACAGUAAGAGCUUGCUCUUACGGGUGGCGAGUGGCGGACGGGUGAGGAAUACAUCGGAAUCUACUUUUUCGUGGGGGAUAACGUAGGGAAACUUACGCUAAUACCGCAUACGACCUACGGUUGAAAGCAGGGGAUCUUCGGACCUUGCGCGAUUGAAUGAGCCGAUGUCGGAUUAGCUAGUUGGCGGGGUAAAGGCCCACCAAGGCGACGAUCCGUAGCUGGUCUGAGAGGAUGAUCAGCCACACUGGAACUGAGACACGGUCCAGACUCCUACGAGAGGCAGCAGAGGGGAAUAUUGGACAAUGGGCGCAAACCUGAUCCAACCAUACCGCGUGGGUGAAGAAGGCCUUCGGGUUGUAAAGCCCUUUUGUUGGGAAAGAAAAGCAGCAGGUUAAUACCCCGCUGUUCUGACGGUACCCAAAGAAUAAGCACCGGCUAACUUCGUG
rnacentral:rRNA from 1 species